rnacentral:lncRNA from 1 species
GGGGCGUGUCCGGGGCGUGUCCGCGGGGAGGCGGCCGGGGCGGGCGGGGCGCAGACCCGGAGCGGAGCGCGGCUGGCUCGGCGCGCAGGGCCCCGCGGCGGAGGUAGGGCCGGGCGGGCGGGCGGGGGCGGGGGGUCCCGGGCGGACGCGGCCUCGGGGCCUGGGUCCUCGGCCCGGCUCUGGGCUCCGCCCCGGGGCGCGGGGGCGCGGGACCGUGUGGGGCUUGGGGGGAGCAUCCUGGCCCCGCGGCCUCGGGCUUGUGCCAACCGGGGGGGGGCGUGGGGGCCGGCGGGACCCCUCUCCGGGCCCGAGGCCGCAGGUGCCCCCGAACCCCGACGGGUUACGCAGGGCAGCGGUGCUGGUGGGAAGAGGAGGGCUCCGAGACCCCAAAGUUGGGAGGCGCCCGGACCCGACCUCCGCGGGGCCAGGGGGACGCUGGUGCCCCGCGGGGGGGAGCCGGGGGCGGGGGAGGCCGGGCCCUGCCGGGGUCACUGCGGCGCCGCUUCCCCUUAGCCCGGGCUGCUCCGCGCAUAGUUUCCACUGGGGUCUGUGCAGGCGGGAGGUGACUGCCCUCGGCCCGUGUCCUGCACACGUCAGCCCUGGGGCUGCCAAGGGCCUGAGGCGCCCGGCUGGGCUAGGGGCCUGCCCGGACCCCCGAGGGACCCCUGGGUCGGGUGCAGCAGGGGUCGGGCGUUCAGAGGGCGGGAGCUGCCCUCUGGACUAGAGGAUUUCCGAUUCUUUUUUCUUUUUUUAAGAUUUUAUUUAUUCAUGAGACACACAGAGAGAGGAGCAGAGACAGGCAGAGGGAGGAGCAGGCUCCAUGCAGGGAGCCCGAGGCGGGACUCGGUCCUGGGACCCCGGGGUCACACCCUGGGCCAAAGGCAGACGCUCCACCACGGAGCCCCCAGGUGUCCUGAGGAUUCCGGAUUCUGUCUUGGGUCGGGAGCAGCCCUCCUGGAGCUGGGCCCUCGGGCAGCAAUUUUGAUGAGGGAGGUGGAACCUCCCCUGGGGGGCUUCUGCCGGGCGCAGCCUCGCCUCCUUCCCGCUCCGGGCCAAGAGCACCUGUGGCUCACUUUCCUCACUCCCAGCUUCUUCGUGGAGAAGGGCCUCCGGGAAGCGCGGCGGGGAGGGGGGGACACGGGGUCGAUGCCUCUGGAAGGAGGGGCCCUUGGGUCGUGGCGCCCUCCGACUGCCCUUGGACAGAAACCCAGAUCCCCGCCUGGGCCCAAGGCCCCUCAAGCGUGGCCUCUGCUGGCCCCUUCCGUGUUACCUCCUGCCCCUCGCUCCUUCCUCUGUGGCCGCCGCGGCUCUGGAGCUGUUCCCAAGGCCCAGAACAUUCUCCCCCCUUCUCCGGGCUUUGCAGGACUGGCUCUUCCCGUUCCGUCAGGUCGAGUUCUUGAACACUUGAGACGUGUGAUGUCGACACGGACGCUGUCACAUACCGUUUGGCAGGUUGCUUUUUCCUCUCGGCCUGUGACGUCUGUGCUCACUCCGUCUUGAGCCGCGUGGACUGGGUGAGUGGUCAUAGGUGCCGACGGCCGCCCCGGGUGCGAGCCGCCCAGCCGGGUGCCCCGUCCCAUCCCCCACCCCGUGCUAGGCGUCUCUCAGCUGGGCUGCAGGUCGCCAAUCCCCUGCUCUUGGCUGCGUCCCUGUGCUGCGCCCUGAGCGCCCCUCCCCUCCGGGGAGCCCUCAGCGGGCCCGUCCCAGCCCCCAGCCCCCAGCCCAGGGGCCAAUAAUCAGCUAGGUUUGCAACACACGGCCAAGAUCAGCAACCUAAAAGUAGUGGUUCUUACAUAAGGCAGCAGGGGCAGCACUCCUCAGGAUGCCUGUGGUCUGAAGGGGGCAAGUGGCAUGUGACUCGGGGGGCCCCCAGCACCCCUCUUGUGCAAUGAAUGCAUGCAGCCUGCACCCUGGGCCCCGCUCUGGCUUCCCACAAGCCGUCUGACUUAGAGAACUGCAGCGUGGUGACCCAGAAAUGUGUGAUCUGCGUGGCCGGGCGCACGGAGGCGGCGGUGAGCUCAGCUCUCACCUGCUUCCUCUUCAGGAGUCCGAGCUGACUCAUGCACAGCGCGCCCUCGGGCAGCUUUGCAAAGGCUCCUCCGCUCACUAGCGACUCCCGACUCCCGGGACGCCUGUGCUCGCCCCGUCCCAGCACCGGGGCUGCUCUAGUGACCGAGAAAGGGCCCCUGGUCUCCCGGGGCGGGAGAUAGGAACCCCAGAGAGACAAGAAGACGCUCGGCCCUCCGAAGUCCCGUGGAGAGAAACACAAAGUAGGGUAACGUCUUGGAGAACGACGCCGGCAAGCGUUUUCCGUAGAGGCCAGGGGGCAUCCUAGGCUUCGCGGCCGGGGCUGUGUCCGCCGCGGCAGCACGAACGCCGCCAGGGACCCGGGUAGCUGAAAGGGUACGGCUGUGUUCCAAUAAAACUUUAUUUACAAAAAUAGGCUGUGGGCCAGGUGCGGCCCUCGGGCCCCAGUUUGCCGACCCUGUGCGGGGUUAGGGGAGGCUCCCUGAGCUGGGGCUGUCGCAGGGCCUUUCUGGGGGGAGAUGAGAACCCAGAGCCCAGUCAUAGGAAGGAGCUGGCGAGGGACGACGUGAUGGCACCUUGCUGUUGCUUCAGUGUGUAGCUGCCUGGUGAGACGGGGUGUGGGGGAUAAAACUGUGGAGCUGGGGCGCCUGGGGGCUCAGCGGGUGAGCGUCCGCCUUCGGCUCAGGGUGCGACCCCGGGGUCCUGGGAUCGAGUCCCGUAUUGGGCUCCCUGCAGGGAGCCUGAGUCUCUCAUGAGCAAAUAAAUUAAAUAUUAAAAAAAAAAUGGUGCAGCUUGCUCAUGGGUUGAGUGUUGGGGGUACAGGAAGGAGGAGGUUCAAGGAUGUUCCUGGAUUUGGGGCUUGAACCAACAGGUGAGCAGUGGUUCUGUUCAUGGAAAAGAAGAGCUGGAGGGAAAGGCGGGCUUUGUGUUGGGCUUGUUGAAUUUGAGGAGCUUCUCCCAUGAGCAGGUGGGAGGUCGUGUGGGCAGGUGGACGUCGGUGCAGAGAGGCCAGGGCUGGAGACCUGGCCUGGGGAGUCAGGGUAUUUGGGGGGCGGGUGUGAGUCUGGGGGGUCACCGGGAGGGUGUGUGGCCGGAGCAGAGGGGCCUGGGUGAGAUCUGGGCCACCAAGUUUUCGUGCUUGGCAGAGGGGGACGGAGGGGGCCUCACAGUCCAUGGAGGAAGGCCCCGAGCCCCCUGCUUACCCACAGAGCCUCAGUUUCCCCCGGCAGCAGGCGGCUCUGCCUCCGAGGGCUGGUGUGAGGAUCCAUAAGGUAGUCGCUUGGCGCGGGGUGCCUGGGGCGCCGGCAGGGGUGACCCCUGAGCCCCAGGCCGAGGGAGCGGCUUGCAGGCCUGUGAGGGUGGCGCAGUCCGCGGUGGCCGAGGGGUUCAACACCUGUUGCCUGGCCCUCACUGUCCCGCACGCGCGCCCGCAGCCUCCUGCCCGGGGAGGCCCUCCAAACCCCUGCCCUUGGGCGGGCAGCGUGCAGUCGUGUCCUCGCCGGGCUCCCAGGCCCCGCGGGGCGCCAAGCCCCACCCCCCCGGCCUCCAGGGGCUUCCCCGUGGUCCCCCAGGUUGGCCUGUGGCCUCCAGGGCGGCGCGUGUGCGGUUGGGUGGCCGCCGGGGGUGACGCGCGGCGGGUCAGCGCGCGGGGGGCCCGGGCGGGGUGUGGGCCCGAGCCCCCCGCUGACCCCCCGGCCC